rnacentral:tRNA from 1 species
CUAGAGAGAGAGGAUUUAAACCUCCAAUAAAAAAUCCAAAAUUUUCCGUACUCUCAACUAUACUACUCCCUA